ACGUAGGAGGCGAGCGUUAUCCGGAUUUACUGGGUGUAAAGCGCGUGCAGGCGGUUUGGAAAGUUGGAUGUGAAAGCUCCUGGCUUAACUAGGAGAGGUCGUUCAAAACUACCAGACUAGAGGGCGGUAGAGGGAGGUGGAAUUCCGAGUGUAGUGGUGAAAUGCGUAGAUAUUCGGAGGAACACCAGUGGCGAAAGCGGCCUCCUGGACCGAUCCUGACGCUCAGACGCGAAAGCUAGGGUAGCAAACGG
rnacentral:rRNA from 1 species